UACGAAGGGGGCUAGCGUUGCUCGGAAUCACUGGGCGUAAAGCGCACGUAGGCGGAUUGUUAAGUCAGGGGUGAAAUCCUGGAGCUCAACUCCAGAACUGCCUUUGAUACUGAAGAUCUUGAGUUCGGGAGAGGUGAGUGGAACUGCGAGUGUAGAGGUGAAAUUCGUAGAUAUUCGCAAGAACACCAGUGGCGAAGGCGGCUCACUGGCCCGAUACUGACGCUGAGGCACGGAAGCGUGGGGAGCAAACAGG
rnacentral:rRNA from 1 species